rnacentral:rRNA from 1 species
GACGAACGCUGGCGGCGUGCUUAACACAUGCAAGUCGUACGGUAAGGCCCUUUCGGGGGUACACGAGUGGCGAACGGGUGAGUAACACGUGAGUAACCUGCCCACAACUUUGGGAUAACGCUAGGAAACUGGUGCUAAUACUGGAUAUGUGCUCCUGCUGCAUGGUGGGGGUUGGAAAGCUCCGGCGGUUGUGGAUGGACUCGCGGCCUAUCAGCUUGUUGGUGGGGUAGUGGCCUACCAAGGCGGCGACGGGUAGCCGGCCUGAGAGGGUGACCGGCCACAUUGGGACUGAGAUACGGCCCAGACUCCUACGGGAGGCAGCAGUGGGGAAUAUUGCACAAUGGGCGCAAGCCUGAUGCAGCAACGCCGCGUGCGGGAUGACGGCCUUCGGGUUGUAAACCGCUUUCAGCAGGGACGAAGCUUUUUGUGACGGUACCUCCAGAAGAAGCACCGGCUAACUACGUG